rnacentral:rRNA from 1 species
ACGCUCGACACCUACUGGAGGCAGCAGUGAGGAAUAUUGGUCAAUGGGCGCAGGCCUGAACCAGCCAAGUAGCGUGAAGGAUGACUGCCCUAUGGGUUGUAAACUUCUUUUAUAUGGGAAUAAAGUUUUCCACGUGUGGAAUUUUGUAUGUACCAUAUGAAUAAGGAUCGGCUAACUCCGUGCCACAGCCGCGGUAAUCUGAGCGGGCUGGCAAGGC